GACCCGGUUCCCGGCGGUGAAGUCUGCGGUGGGAUCUCUCAGGCUAAGGGAUGAAGAACCUGAAGUAGACAGUCAUUCCAAGACGUAAUCAGAACUCACAACCCUUAAAUGGUGGAACCACAAGGAGAGUCCAGAUGUGGAACCAUACUUCGUGACCACGGAUAGGCCAUCUGUACCCAAAAGAAGAGCAGAUGUGGGAGCAAUGUGAGGGCAUGAUCACACGGCACCCCAAAUACAGCCGAAUGGACAGAAAGUACCUGAUGCUGGGGACCAGCCUCCUCCUAAGGCUUAGACUCCCUUUAAUGGAAUAGCUAUAACCACAGUGGAUACCAAGAUGUUUUCUUAGGGAAACAGCGCUGGCCCUUGUUGCAGAUACCAUCUCAGCAGCUCGGCUCCAUUGUGUCCCUUUCCUGAUCCUCUACAGGAUUAUGAGCCCAGUUGAGGCGAUUUGAAGAACUGCUGCCCCAGGUGUGUAGCUAACACUGGUGAUGAAGAAUUUCAAGGAGCAGCACUGGAAGAAGUUCUGUGCCUCCAUGAAUGAGACCCAGCUACCCUUUGAGCAGCAACAGAAGCAGCUAGAGAAAAAGAAGAUGCAUUGAAGGAGGAGGAAGGCCGAGAAUUUCCAGAAGCUCCAUCCAAAUCUUGGACACCCCAGAUAUUCUCAAGAAAUGAAGUCACUGCACAUAGUGGAGGAAAAAAGGCAGGAGAAGCUGGAGGGCACCCUCAAGUUAUACCAGGAGGAGCUGGAGGAAUUCAUCAGGAAGUAUGGCCGCCUUCCCAUCGCCAGCUUGGCCACUUUCACAGAGACGUUCCUGCUACAGCUAGAUGAAGUGAUCACAACUGACGACAUCCUAGUUGCACGUGUUCAAGUCUAACUGAGUAGCCUCCUGCUCCCGCUUCAGCUCCUCUCCUCCUGGGGAAAGACAGCAGGUUGUGCCCCCUACAACAUCACCACACAGAGUGAACUUACUGUCGCCGAGGCUGUCCUUGACUCUCUGUGGGCACUGAAGUGACAGGCCAAAGCCUCCUUAAGGGGAUCCAUUCUACUCAGCCAUGAGUCCCUCAGGAUUCAUACUUCAUGAGUGCUCACUCAUCUUCUAGGUGGUUCGGCUGGGCCACCAGAACAUGUAGCUGCUGCUUGCCUUGUAUCACUUCCUGGACCUGUUCCUACAAGGUGGGCAAAGAGAAGAAGACACAGUGGAGCUGGUUGCAUGGUUCUGCAGUUAAAGGCACUUGCUAGCAAAGGACGCCCAUCCAAUAUAUUCACACUUUUGGUUAGAGAAGCGUCUAUUCUCAGCACUAUCCCACCCUCCAAGGUUCAGAGACUUGGUGAAAGAGAGAAUGUCUGAGGCCAAGGAAGAAGACUACAUUCACUACUGUCUUCAAGACACUGUGCAACAAUAGGAAGGGGAAACGGAUGACAUCAACACAGGAGAGACACUGGUUGGAAAGAAGAAGAGAUCCAGUGCAGGGGAACUAGAAGAAAAGGGAGGGGGAAGAGCGGUUUAAUUUUAAAAACGAAAGAUAGGUGUUACUCUUCUGUACACAGGCCUGAGCAGUUCCUUCCCUUCUGACCCUUGGUGCAGUGAGAGAACGCUUCCUGCCUGGGUGGGACAGCAGGAGCAGAAGGUACUUUGAUUUCUGAGUCUCUCCUAUCCAGUGCCUUCUCUUACCCCUAACAACAGUACGCUGAGUCACAUCAAUCCUGUAGCAAUGCCUCAUGGCUAGUCACAUGAAAACAUGAGAGGGGAGGGAAAAAAGUGGAACCACAGGCAGGAGCUCUACUGAGCUCAGCACGAUCCCCACACACUGUCCUGCCAAGGUUAUGGACCAUUAAAAUGCUGCCAAAAUGAUCUUAGUGGGUCUAAGCAAGGGGUGGGGACUCGGGCAUGAUCCUGUUUGUAUUCUCAUGGUGGUGGUAGAAAGGGGAUGAGGGUUUGCUGCCCAAGCUCAAGCAUUCCCCGCACUCUGGAUCCAAGAAGGCUGCUGUACCAUCAGCUGUGCAGUGGGUUUCUCAUGAGGAGCGGCCUCUGCAGCCUUGCCUUGUUCAGGCCCCACACAGCCUUCAAUUCUCACCUCCUGAAGAUCUGUGGGAAGGGCGGGGACAGUGCUGUGAGGGUCAUGCCACCGCUGCCCUGUGGAUGUCCAACCCGACGCCAGCACUCCUGUGGGCACGUCUAUCCCCUGUCCUGCCCGAGGCUCUACUUACUACCAUGUUGGUCAGAAGUGCUGCCAUCCUGGGUUCCCGGGAGCCCUGGAGUGGGCUGAUAAGCAGUAUUCAGGAGGGAUCCAAAGAACUUCCACCAGCCCUUCUUUUCCUGUCUUGGUCCAAGCUGCUGCCGCGCUGACAACUUGAUCUGAGGAGAGAGGCGCUCAGUGCCAGCCCUGCACUUGCCCAGCCCACCGACGUCUCAGGGUCCUACCUGCAUCUCCUUCUCCUGCUUCAGAACACUAAUGCAAUUCUCUUUUUCUAUGGCAUGUGCCUUCAUCGAUGCCCUCUGGUGCUGAGUGACGGCAUUGUAAUCGUCUGUGUGGAUGGCACGCAGAUGAAUAGACUCAGACCAUGUAAUAUCUGUGGCCCAUCAUCCCAUGUGCAGCCCCCUGACGUGGGCCUGGUUCCACUCACCAAUGCUGUCAGACUCUGAAGAGAGCAGCACACACUUACGGUAGACGUCCUCCAUGAGCUCCUUCAGCUCCAGGACACAUGCUUCGAGCAUCAUGAUUUGCAUCUGGGACCAAAAUAGGAAAUUUCAAGUGUCAGUGGAAUCCACAGCUGGUCCUACUUUCCCAGUGCCUUGCAGGGACCAGGAAGGAACAGGAGUGGCACCUCCUCCCACUUGCGCCCAGCCUCACCAACAUCUCACCUGCGCCUCCUGCAAUUCCUGGUGGGUUCUCUGGGCCUCCAUCUUGGCCUGGGCCUCGCUGUGCUGCAGCAGGACCACGUGCUGGCUCUGCAGCACCAACUGCCUGUGCAGCGCCUCCUGCUCACCUCUGAGGCGAUCAUAGGCAGCCCGGAGCUGCGGGUGGCACCCUUCAUAGCGCUGCAGGUGGGUCAGGCACUGGUGCAGCUGCUCCUCAAGAUCACGAGCCUCCUGGCUCUUCUGAUCCACCUGCAGCAAGGGCAUGAGGU